GUUACUCAACUCGUUAGUUUUGAUCGAUUCUUUUAUAAAAACAGUUGCAUUUCUUGAAACGAACGAUCUUUUACUCAGUUUCAAUAUAGAAAAAUCUAUAUUUGAUUGUUUCGUGUAAAAUACAUACACGAUAUUUUCUAUCGGUCAGGUGAAUUCAUAAAAUUUGCUUAUUUAAUAUACUAAUUAACGUUUACGUAACUAAACCAUAACACGCAUAUUUAAUAUAACCAACGUUCGAUGACGUCAGGUAAGCGCUCUUAAAAUGGCGUCGGAUAAACGAAAUAUUACGAAAUUCAGUAAAAAUUGCACUGUCGGUCAAUCGGAAACUUGGUCCGAAAUUACUGGACGAACCAGAGGAAUGAUUUGUUCUAGUUUUGGGGGUGGCGACGUUCGAUUAUAGAAAAUCUCGCUUCCAACCCCUUGUGGAGAAUGGAAACCGAAGACAGAGGGUGAUAGGGAGUCUCUCGAUCCCAAUCCGUCGUCAUUCCGGGGAUAGAAACGUAAAAAAUGCAGAUAUUUAGCCUUAAAAUUCAAAAAGAAUCCAUGACGUCAAUCGCAUUGGAAUUCGUUACGCGCUUUUCUAAUCUCCAUAGAAACGGCAACAAUUGCUGUUUCUAUUGUUGCAACACGAUUUUGCGUCACUUUGCACGUUUUUCGCUUGCUGUGAGGACGUGUGCGCUCUUUGCUCCUGUUUUCGCUGUGUUUUUUGCCUUCUUCAGUGUUCUUUUCUACCGGAACGUGGUUUUAAGAAGACUUGUGGACGCCGACGUUAUACCAAAAUGAAGAUGUUGGAGUGGUUUCGCCGGAGGUUUCGACGGAAGAAUGCGGUGGCGCCGGAGGGAGGGGGUUCCUCGGACGGCUCCGAUGAGACGUUCGAGGACCGUGGGCUCGACUGGGUCUCUGUCGAAUCGAUUAGUUCGGUGUCUUUGGAGACCGUCGAGCGAGAGGCAGAGGGUGGUGACGACCUUCCCCCAGUGCGUGUGGCGUGGGACUCUCCCGGAGGCGGGAGAGUUCUGAGUCCAUUCCACUUGGUCAAUGUCGUCAGGGAUCAGCCGGCCACAAGCCUUGUUGUGGAAGACGUAGAGAGUGACGAGUUCUGUUGGAGUUCGACGUCACUUUCUACUUUCGCGUGGUCUGCCUCUCUGUACGCGCUCGCGAGCUGGUCGCCAUCGUCUUUCCGAAGUCGGAACGGGGAAGCAUCGGAAAAGAGCGCCGCCGAAGUCGAGGAACCGCGGUUUUGUUGCUGCGGGUGGCUGAGGUUCCCUCGGCCUAGGCGGUGAUCCUCUUCGAUUUUCCCCAACUCGUCCUUUGCAUCCGGAUGCGACAUUCUGACCGGAUUCGACACUUUUCACCCGGACAUGACCUCUUUACUCAGACGUGACCUUCUCUUACCCGGAUGUUCUCACGGACUUGUCUCCCGAACGUGACACUCGAUCGAUGACAACGGAUUUGACUUCCGAUUGUGACCACCCGAACUUGACACGUUUCUUCACCGGACGCGACAUUCGGCCGACCUUUCUUCCCAAACAGCUGUUACGAGGAUUGAGCUUCCGGUUAGGUUAGGUUAGGUUAGGCUAGGUUAGGUCAGGUCCUUCGCUCUCCUCAUGACACUGUUCGGGAAGAAAGACUAUCUGAUAAAGGUAAUAAUAUUGACCUUAGAUAAUAAAUUAAUCAACUUCUCCUUUUCUCACUGUCUUUGUGUUUUGUAGGAACAUUUGGGAGGGAGAAGGAUCUCCCUCCCCAACUUUACCACGAGGAAGACGAAGUGGCCAUUUAUCGUACAAGUGAAUGUUUUCCGAAAUCUUCGAUGACAUGCCGAAGAUGUUCUUGGAUCACGCACACACGCGCAUACGCACGCACGCACGCACGCACGCACUGACAUAACAUCACUGUACACGAAGAUAUACACCGUUUAACCUUUACUCGAAUUCUCGCACUCACGCAUUUACACGUCAAGCGCCACGUUCUGUGUAAUUCCA
rnacentral:lncRNA from 1 species